UCUAACCCUGCCACAUAGUUAUAUGUUCUAA
rnacentral:piRNA from 1 species